rnacentral:tRNA from 3 species
GUGGUCGUAGCUCAGUUGGUAGAGCACCUGGUUGUGGUCCAGGGGGUCGCGGGUUCGAGUCCCGUCGAUCACCCCA